GCUGCGCUUCUCUUUAUUGUCGUGUUUUCAAUUACAGUUCACGUCAGUAAAUUGUAAAAGUAUUCUUCGGACAAAGCAAACGACUCUUCUUCGCCCAGACUCAGAGGACACGGAGAUAAGUGUCGAUGCCAACGGACGAUUAAUUUAAUUCUCACAUUUGGCGCCCAGCUGGAGCCAGUAGCAGAGCCAGCCGCUCAGUCACAUCGGACAUUAUGUGGAAGGCAUUGUGCAGUUUACACCAAGACAUGGACAAGAUGAUGGCCAAACUGGACGUGACUAAAGCGCUGGAGAACUGGAGGUGAACUGGUGGUGGUAGCAGUAACAGAGGAGCUGUGGAACCACACACUUCACAGCAUUUUCCUACAGCCAACCUAAAGUUUCUAGAACUGUCAGCAUGAUGAG